CUCUCCACCCAGUUGAGCAACUUCAGCUGUUCCCGCCUCCUAUCUCGUCAUUCUCCGGGAGAGUGAGCAGCCAUACUUCCUGCUUGGACUGCUGGUGACCUGCUCACUCUCUAGUCCAUAGAUGCUGCCAAGGACAAUGAAAGAGAACACAGGACUAAAGAACAUUGGGAGUAAGGCAUCUUGAUUUCUGGGGAGACUGAAAACUAUCAGCUCUCCAGAUAUAUUCCAGGACUGUAGCACCAUGUGGGGCAACCGAGGCUUACAGACUCUUGGAUGGACAACUACCAAAUUCUCAGCCUUUUCAUUAUGGGACAAUCAUUGUUGCACCAGCUUGCCAUAGCCUGGCGGAAGAACACAUCUCCAGCUUUGCAGAAGUUACAGGAAGGAGGAAGGAAGUGAGCAGUGACCCAGGACCUGGAGUCCAGCAGGUUUCUCAGAGGCAGAAAGAUGGGGCCAUUCUCAACAGGAGCGGGGAGA